UGUUAAAAAUUUCUUCUAUUUGUACUUUUAAAAACUGGUGUGACUGAUAGAAUAAUCAGACAGUAACGCUUAACGUGCUAUGUGUACCUCAUGCUGAUAUACAAGAACCAAUUUUUAAUAGUAAAAAUGAAUGAAAUUUUUAAUA
rfam:Gossypium arboreum cultivar AKA8401 contig_782_13, whole genome shotgun sequence.